rnacentral:snRNA from 1 species
AUCGCUUCUCAGCCUUUUGGCUAAGAUCAAGUGUAGUUUC